GGCGAACCGGGGGAACUGAAACAUCUAAGUACCCCGAGGAAAAGAAAUCAACCGAGAUUCCGAAAGUAGCGGCGAGCGAAAUUGGACUAGCCCUUAAGCUUUACACGCGUUAGACGAACGGUCUGGAAAGUCCGACGAUACAGGGUGAUAGUCCCGUAGUUGACGACGUGUGUUCAGUGAAAUCGAGUAGGGCGGGACACGUGAUAUCCUGUCUGAAUAUGGGGGGACCAUCCUCCAAGGCUAAAUACUACUGACUGACCGAUAGUGAACCAGUACCGUGAGGGAAAGGCGAAAAGAACCCCUGUGAGGGGAGUGAAAUAGAACCUGAAACCGUGUACGUACAAGCAGUAGGAGCAGGCUUUGUCCUGUGACUGCGUACCUUUUGUAUAAUGGGUCAGCGACUUAUAUUCAGUGGCAAGGUUAACCAUCUAGGGGAGCCGUAGGGAAACCGAGUCUUAACUGGGCGUUCAGUCUCUGGAUAUAGACCCGAAACCAGGUGAUCUAGCCAUGGGCAGGUUGAAGGUUGAGUAACAUCAACUGGAGGACCGAACCGACUAAUGUUGAAAAAUUAGCGGAUGACUUGUGGCUAGGGGUGAAAGGCCAAUCAAACCUGGAGAUAGCUGGUUCUCCCCGAAAGCUAUUUAGGUAGCGCCUCGGACGAAUACUACUGGGGGUAGAGCACUGUUAAGGCUAGGGGGUCAUCCCGACUUACCAACCCUUUGCAAACUCCGAAUACCAGUAAGUACUAUCCGGGAGACACACGGCGGGUGCUAACGUCCGUCGUGGAGAGGGAAACAACCCAGACCGCCAGCUAAGGUCCCAAAUUACUACUAAGUGGGAAACGAUGUGGGAAGGCUCAGACAGCCAGGAUGUUGGCUUAGAAGCAGCCAUCAUUUAAAGAAAGCGUAAUAGCUCACUGGUCGAGUCGGCCUGCGCGGAAGAUGUAACGGGGCUAAGUAGUAAACCGAAGCUGCGGCAAUGUGCUUUUGCACAUUGGGUAGGGGAGCGUUCUGUAAGCGGUUGAAGGUGUGUGGUAACGCAUGCUGGACGUAUCAGAAGUGCGAAUGCUGACAUGAGUAACGAUAAAGGGGGUGAAAAACCUCCUCGCCGGAAGACCAAGGGUUCCUGUCCAACGUUAAUCGGGGCAGGGUAAGUCGACCCCUAAGGCGAGGCCGAAAGGCGUAGUCGAUGGGAAACGGGUUAAUAUUCCCGUACUUCUUACAAUUGCGAUGGGGGGACGGAGAAGGCUAGGUGGGCCUGGCGACGGUUGUCCAGGUUCAAGUGCGUAGGCUUAAGAGUUAGGUAAAUCCGGCUCUUUUUAAGGCUGAGACACGACGUCGAGCAUCUACGGAU
rnacentral:rRNA from 1 species